GGUUAUUCUACCAUGGCUUUGACUGGAAUGGUGUGCUUUCCUUUAAGGAAUUAAACUUGUUUUAUGAAGCCAGUAAAAGCCCCUUGGGAAAGCUGGCCAAAUACCCUGUCUACACAGUCCCUGAACAGGGUUCCUGAUCUGUGGUAAAUAAAGAAUGUCACUUUCUGACAGGCCCAGGAGCCCCAAGUUUUACCUCGGGACCUCAAAAGGAGAGGAAUUCAUGCAACUCAUAG
rnacentral:lncRNA from 10 species